rnacentral:rRNA from 1 species
UCUNAAAAGUUCGGGGCUUAACCCCGUGAUGGGAUGGAAACUGCCAAUCUAGAGUNUCGGAGAGGAAAGUGGAAUUCNUAGUGUAGCGGUGAAAUGCGUAGAUAUUAGGAAGAACACCAGUGGCGAAGGCGACUUUCUGGACGAAAACUGACGCUGAGGCGCGAAANCCAGGGGAGCGAACGGGAUUAGAUACCCCGGUAGUCCUGNCCGUAAACGAUGGGUACUAGGUGUAGGAGGUAUCGACCCNUUCUGUGCCGGAGUUAACGCAAUAAGUACCCCGCCUGGGGAGUACGACCGCAAGGUUGAAACUCAAAGGAAUUGACGGGGGCCCGCACAAGCGGUGGAGUAUGUGGUUUAAUUCGACGCAACGCGAAGAACCUUACCAGGUCUUGACAUUGAUGGACAGAACUAGAGAUAGUUCCUNUUCUUCGGAAGCCAGAAAACAGGUGGUGCACGGUUGUCGUCAGCUCGUGUCGUGAGAUGUUGGGUUAAGUCCCGCAACGAGCGCAACCCCUAUCUUAUGUUGCCAGCACGUAAAGGUGGGAACUCAUGAGAGACUGCCGCAGACAAUGCGGAGGAAGGCGGGGAUGACGUCAAAUCAUCAUGCCCCUUAUGACCUGGGCUACACACGUACUACAAUGGGAGUUAAUAGACGGAAGCGAGAUCGCGAGAUGGAGCAAACCCGAGAAACACUCUCUCAGUUCGGAUCGUAGGCUGCAACUCGCCUACGUGAAGUCGGAAUCGCUAGUAAUCGCAGGUCAGCAUACUGCGGUGAAUACGUUCCCGGGCCUUGUACACACCGCCCGUCACACCACGAAAGUCGGAAGUGCCCAAAGCC